rnacentral:rRNA from 1 species
CCUACGGGAGGCAGCAGUGGGGAAUUUUCCGCAAUGGGCGAAAGCCUGACGGAGCAACGCCGCGUGAGGGAUGAAGGCCUCUGGGCUGUAAACCUCUUUUAUCAAGGAAGAAGAUCUGACGGUACUUGAUGAAUAAGCCACGGCUAAUUCCGUGCCAGCAGCCGCGGUAAUACGGGAGUGGCAAGCGUUAUCCGGAAUUAUUGGGCGUAAAGCGUCCGCAGGCGGCCCUUCAAGUCUGCUGUUAAAAAGUGGAGCUUAACUCCAUCAUGGCAGUGGAAACUGUUGGGCUUGGGUGUGGUAGGGGCAGAGGGAAUUCCCGGUGUAGCGGUGAAAUGCGUAGAUAUCGGGAAGAACACCAGUGGCGAAGGCGCUCUGCUGGGCCAUCACUGACGCUCAUGGACGAAAGCCAGGGGAGCGAAAGGGAUUAGAUACCCCUGUAGUCCUGGCCGUAAACGAUGAACACUAGGUGUCGGGGGAAUCGACCCCCUCGGUGUCGUAGCCAACGCGUUAAGUGUUCCGCCUGGGGGGUACGCACGCAAGUGUGAAACUCAAAGGAAUUGACGG